AUGACACCUGAGACAAGCAAGAGUACCCGCUGAACUUAAGCAUAUCAGUAAGCGGAGGAAAAGAAAAUAACAAUGAUUACCUCAGUAGCGGCGAGUGAAGAGGUAAAAGCCCAAGAUGUUAAUCUGUAUUACAGAUACAGAAUUGUAAUCUAUAGAGUAGCUCAGAAAGUAGAUGCUCGCCAUAAGUUCUCUUGGAAUAGAACACCAUAGAGGGUGAAAGUCCCGUCUUUGGGCGAGCAAAAGCAAUAUGAGAUAUUUCUAAGAGUCGGGUAGUUUGGGAAUGCUGCCCUAAUUGGGAGAUAAACUUCUUCUAAGGCUAAAUAUUUAUAGGAGACCGAUAGCAUACAAGUACUGCGAAGGAAAGAUGAAAAGAACUUUGAAAAGAGGGUUAAAAGACUUGAAAUCGUUGAAAAGGAAGCGGUAAAAGAGAAAUUAUUCACUCAAGAAUAAGGUUUUAGGCUAAGUUCGUCAGUGUAGAGUAUCUAACAGAGCUCUUGCAGGCAAAUGAAAACUAACUUACUUUUUUUGAGUGAUAGACAAAAUGAGAUCAUUUUGCAAGAAUAAAGUGAAGAGUUUAUUCUCCCACCCGAAGUUGCAAAGUGGUCUGAGGGAUCUUAUGAUGAUUUUGUCAAAAUGGCUUUUACCGACCCGUCUUGUAACACGGACCAAGGAGUCUACCUAUUAUGCAAGUGUUAAGGUGGAAAAACCUAAACGCGUAACGAAAGUAAUUUAAGAUGUAAGACGCAAGUUGCAACAUCAACCAAUCUUGAUUCUCUGAUGAAGGACUUGAGUAAGAGCAUAAUCGGUAGGACCCGAAAGAUGGUGAACUACGGUUGAGUAGGGUGAAGCCAGGGGAAACUCUGGUGGAGGCUCGAAGCGAUACUGACGUGCAAAUCGUUCGUCAAACUUGACUGUAGGGGCGAAAGACUAAUCGAACCAUCUAGUAGCUGGUUCCCUCUGAAAUUUCUCUCAGGAUAGCAGGAACAGAUCAAGCAGUUUUAUCAGGUAAAGCUAAUGAUUAGAGGAAUCGGGGUUCCGUGAACCUUGACCUAUUCUCAAACUUUAAAUUGGUAAGAACCGGAAGUUAUCUUAAUUGAACUUUUGGGUAGAAUGCAGUGUUCUUAGUGGGCCAUUUUUGGUAAGCAGAACUGGCGAUGAGGGAUGAACCUAACGUUGAGAUAAGGUGCCAAAAUUCACGCUCAUGAGAUACCAUAAAAGGUGUUGGUUAGUUUAAACAGCCGGACUGUGGCCAUGGAAGUCGGCAGCAGCUAAGGAGUGUGUAACAACUCACCAGCCGAAUUAACCAGCCCUGAAAAUUGAUGGCGCUAAGCGUGAUACCGAUACUCAACCAUUAUAAUAAAUAGAAAUUAUAAUGAGUAAGAGGGCGUGAAUACUGUGUAGAAGGUUUGGAUGUGAAUCUGACUGGAACAGUAUUUAGUGCAGAUCUUGGUGGUAGUAGCAAAUAUUCAAAUGAGAACUUUGAAGACCGAAGUGGAGAAGGGUUCCAUGAGAACAGCAUUUGGUCAUGGGUUACUCGAUCCUAAGACAUAGGGAAAUUCCUUGUAAUACAUGUAUUCUUAUGAAUACGUUGUCAAAAGGGAAUGAGGUUCAUAUUCCUCAAGCUGGAUGUGGAGGUUAUGUGGCAACACAAACAAGCUCGGAAACGCCGGUAUGUACAACUGGAAGAGUUCUCUUUUCUUCUUAACAAUCUAUCUCCCUGAAUGGAUUAACCAGAGCUAGGGAUAUAUGGUUGGCAGAGCAGUUCACCAUCGAAUUGUCAGUGAUGUUCAUAACGGUCCUUGAAAAUCCGAGUAAGAUUAUCCUAUCACACCAGGUCGUACCCAUAACCGCAUCAGGUCUCCAAGGUUAGCAGCCUCUGGUCGAUAGAAUAAUGUAGAUAAGGGAAUUCGGCAAAUUAGAUCCGUAACUUCGGGAAAAGGAUUGGCUCUGAGGAUUGGGUGUUUAGAGUCGAGCAUGGACUGCGGAACAGAACUCGGGUUUGUCGCAAGACAGAACCUUGUUUUGUGAACCAGGAAUUGUGAGAACCUCUUACACGAUUAACAAUCGACUCAGAACUGAAGCGGACAAGGGGAAUCCGACUGUUUAAUAAAAACAUAGCUUUGUGAUGGCCUCAAAAGGUGUUGACACAAAGUGAUUUCUGCCCAGUGCUUUGAAUGUGAAUAUGAAGUAAUUUGUAGAAGCUCAGGUAAACGGCGGGAGUAACUAUGACUCUCUUAAGGUAGCCAAAUGCCUCGUCAUCUAAUUAGUNNAUAAUCAGCGGGGAAAGAAGACCCUGUUGAGCUUGACUCUAGUCCGACUUUGUGAAAUGACUUUCGAGAUAUAGCCUAAGUGGGAGCUAACGCGCCGCUGUAAAACCACUGCUCGCUUAGCCAUUUUACUUACUCCGUAAAGAAGCGGCCAAUUUAUUGGUUCUUAGAUUUAAAUCCUGACUCGUAUCAGGAUGAGUUUUGCGGAGGACAAGGUCAGGUGGGGAGUUUGACUGGGGCGGUACAUCUGUUAAACAAUAACGCAGGUGUCCUACGGUGAGCUCAAAGAGAACAGAAAUCUCUUGUAGACCAAAAGGGGAAAAGCUCACUUGAUUUUGAUUUUCAGUACUAAUACAAACCGCGAAAGCGUGGCCUAUCGAUCCUUUACCUUUACAAGUUUAAAGCUAGAGGUGUCAGAAAAGUUACCACAGGGAUAACUGGCUUGUGGCAGCCAAGCGUUCAUAGCGACGUUGCUUUUUGAUCCUUCGAUGUCGGCUCUUCCUAUCAUUGUGAAGCACAAUUCACAACGUGUUGGAUUGUUCACCCGUUAAUAGGGAACGUGAGCUGGGUUUAGACCGUCGUGAGACAGGUUAGUUUUACCCUACUGAUGAAUUGAUAUUGCGACAGUAAUCUUACUUAGUACGAGAGGAACCGUUAGAUCAGAUAAUUGGUUAAUACGGUUAGCUGAAAAGCUAAUGCCGUGAAGCUACCAUCUGCUGGAUUAUGACUGAAAGCCUCUAAGUCAGAAACCAUGCUGGAAAGCAAUGUCCAAUCAAUAAUAAACGAAAAACAAUAAGGGAAACCUUUAGUUCAGAGAGGGAGCGGUCACACUCGAAAGAGCAUAGCCAAACCUUCGAUCAAUUUAGAUUAUUAUUGUAACAGAUCUUCUGUAGACG
rnacentral:rRNA from 1 species